rnacentral:rRNA from 1 species
GACGAACGCUGGCGGCGUGCUUAACACAUGCAAGUCGAACGGAAAGGCCCUGCUUUUGUGGGGUGCUCGUGUGGCGAACGGGUGAGUAACACGUGAGUAACCUGCCCUUGACUUUGGGAUAACUUCAGGAAACUGGGGCUAAUACCGGAUAGGAGCUCUUGCUGCAUGGUGGGGGUUGGUAAGUUUCGGCGGUUGGGGAUGGUCUCGCGGGUUAUCGGCUUCUUGGGGGGGUAGGGGUUUACCAAGGUUUUGAAGGGUAGCCGGCCUGAGAGGUUGGCCGGCCACAUGGGGCCUGAGAGACGGCCCAGACGCCUACGGGACGCAGCAGUGGGGAAUAUUGCACAAUGGGCGGAAGCCUGAUGCAGCGACGCCGCGUGCGGGAUGACGGCCUUCGAGUUGUAAACCGCUUUCGCCGGUGACGAAGCGGGAGUGACGGUAAUGGGUAAGGAAGCACCGGCUAACUACGUG